CUACGGGGGGCAGCAGUGGGGAAUCUUGCGCAAUGGGCGAAAGCCUGACGCAGCAACGCCGUGUGAAGGAUGAAGGUCUGAGGAUUGUAAACUUCUGUUAGGGGGGAAGAAGUACUGACGGUACCCCCAAAGAAAGCACCGGCUAACUCCGUGCCAGCAGCCGCGGUAAUACGGAGGGUGCAAGCGUUAUUCGGAAUUACUAGGUGUAAAGGGCGUGUAGGUGGUUUGUUAAGUUAGAUGUGAAAUCUCACAGCUCAACUGUGGGGCUGCAUUUAAAACUGGCAGACUUGAGUAUAGGAGGGGGAAACGGAAUUUCUGGUGUAGCGGUGGAAUGCGUAGAUACCAGAAGGAACACCGACGGCGAAAGCGGUUUCCUGGCCUAAUACUGACACUAAGGCGCGAAAGCUAGGGGAGCAAACAGGAUUAGAUACCCCCGUAGUC
rnacentral:rRNA from 1 species